rnacentral:tRNA from 1 species
GGGUGAGGAGUCUAGUGGUAUGAUUCCUGUUUUGGGUACAGGAGGUCCCG